CACAUGGUGCUCAGACGCCGAAACCGGCUGGCGAUCAUUAACUAGUGCUUCCUCCCAGGGAGAGAAUGCAGGUUUUAAAGACACGAGCUCUUAUUUUUAUAAAACAGCCAGGACUGCAAUAGAAGUUUUGCUCUCCCCUAGGACUUGACAAAGUUGCCCCGCGGAGCCCCCGUUUCCAGGCCUGCAGGAGCGGCGGGCUGCAGCAUCCUGGACUCGGAGCGGAGGGAGGGGCGGGCGGGCGCGUUUGGCGCUGCGCCCUCGCGCCUGGGAAAUGGAGGACGGAUUUCUGAAGUGUGUUUUGUUUCGCAUUAUACGAAGAAUACUUUCCAAAAACACUGUGCAAAAUGGCCUCAGCCUUACAGGAAAAACCACCCGUGAUGGUCUGCAGCCUUAUAUCCUAUUUCAUUGAACUGUUUUCGGAAACAAUAAAUAUGUAAAGAAUU